UUGUCGAUGUAGCCAUAAUGAUUUGUUUUCACAAAAUGCUAAGCAUGCAUGUAUUUAAGUGUCUUAAAAAGUAUGCUUAUAUUGGUCAAUGCAUAAUUUCAUAACAGGCCAAAUAGAAAAUAAAUGUUAAAUAUACUGUAGCCUAGACAUAAUAUAAAAAUCAGAUGAUGUAGGAUACACUCGACACAGCUCACCC